rnacentral:rRNA from 1 species
UACGUAGGGGGCAAGCGUUGUCCGGAAUCAUUGGGCGUAAAGCGCGCGUAGGCGGCCAUACAAGUCCGGUGUGAAAGCCCCAGGCUCAACCUGGGAAUGCCGCUGGAAACUGUCUGGCUAGAGUCCGGAAGGGGCGAGUGGAAUUCCUGGUGUAGCGGUGAAAUGCGCAGAUAUCAGGAGGAACACCUGUGGCGAAGGCAGCUCGCUGGGACGGUACUGACGCUGAGGCGCGAAAGCGUGGGGAGCGAACAGG